rnacentral:rRNA from 1 species
UACGUAGGGUGCGAGCGUUGUCCGGAAUUACUGGGCGUAAAGAGCUCGUAGGUGGUUUGUCGCGUUGUUCGUGAAAUCUCACGGCUUAACUGUGAGCGUGCGGCGAUACGGGCAGACUAGAGUACUGCAGGGAGACUGGAAUUCCUGGUGUAGCGGUGGAAUGCGCAGAUAUCAGGAGGAACACCGGUGGCGAAGGCGGGUCUCUGGGCCAAAACUGACGCUGAGGAGCGAAAGCGUGGGGAGCGAACAGG